AUUGAACGCUGGCGGCAUGCCUAACACAUGCAAGUCGAACGGAGUGGCGGACGGGUGAGUAAUGUCUGGGAAACUACCUGGUGGAGGGGGAUAACUACUGGAAACGUUAGCUAAUACCGCAUACCAUCCGAUGGGCCUAUGUCUGAUUAGCUAGUUGGUGGGGUAAAGGCCUACCAAGGCGACGAUCCGUAACUGGUCUGAGAGGAUGAUCAGCCACACUGGAACUGAGACACGGUCCAGACUCCUACGGGAGGCAGCAGUGGGGAAUAUUGGACAAUGGGCGAAAGCCUGAUCCAGCCAUGCCGCGUGUGUGAAGAAGGUCUUCGGAUUGUAAAGCACUUUUAGUUGGGAGGCGGUACCAACAGAAUAAGCACCGGCUAACUUCGUGCCAGCAGCCGCGGUAAUUC
rnacentral:rRNA from 1 species